rnacentral:rRNA from 1 species
UACGGAGGGGGCUAGCGUUGUUCGGAAUUACUGGGCGUAAAGCGCACGUAGGCGGCUUUGUAAGUUAGAGGUGAAAGCCCAGGGCUCAACCCUGGAAUUGCCUUUAAGACUGCAUCGCUUGAACAUCGGAGAGGUAAGUGGAAUUCCGAGUGUAGAGGUGAAAUUCGUAGAUAUUCGGAAGAACACCAGUGGCGAAGGCGACUUCCUGGACACCAACUGACGCUGAGACGCGAAAGCGUGGGGAGCAAACAGG